UUUCGUGUGCACCUCAUGCUUUACCUGCAAGGAAUGUUGAGGUCCUGCACGGCAAGGGCAAGCACUAAUUAUUUCUCAUGCAUUGCAAGGAGUGCGGAUAAUCUCUGCCAAUGUUGCUGCCAGGGCAUCCAACCAAUGAAGACCUGCUCAAUUGGGGUUUGAAGAGCUGAACGCCGAGCUCCGUUACAGGUUCUACAGCUGCUUAUCUAUUUUAUUCUUUUCUGCCCUUCCGCACUUGCUUUGUAAAAGAGGGGGACCGCACUUUCAACAAUGCUGAAGGAGCAUUUACAGGUUUCUGAAUAUCAGAGGCUCUAUUUGCGUGAGCAUUUCAUUGGCGAUGAGGUGAAAGCGGAGGAUGCGGUGCGGGCUGUGCAUUCAGCAAAUUUGUGAGAGCCAGCGGGCGGGGUUUAGUCUGUGCAGUGAGACAUGAAAAUGCUUUGGAAGAAAUGUUGAGAUCCUCCACGGCAAGCACGGCUUCGGGAUAAUCUCUGUCAAUGUUGCCGCUAGCAUCUGAAGAAAAGUCUUGAGUAGGGUUUGAGAAGCAGAAUGCAGAGCUCAUUGUAAUGUCCGAACUGCAACAGCAGAGCACCAGAAUUUCGGCACUCAUUAUUCAAAUUGGGGGAACCGUCAGUCCUGUUUGCGUUCAAAGAGGGUCAUCAGCAGUGCCUGCUUUCAACUGUAUUAUAUAGUCAGUCGAUUUGUGCAACUAUGAGAUUGCCGAUGACUUUCCGCCGCCGCCGGCCAUCUCCUGCACUUGCUUUGUAAAAGAGGGAGCCCAGACUUCCAAGGAUGCCAAGGGGGCAUUUCCAG